rnacentral:pre_miRNA from 1 species
UUAAUACUUCCUCCGUCCAGAAAUACUUGUCGGAGGAAUGGUUGUAUCUAAUCACAUUUUAGUUUUAGAUGCAUUCAUUUUUAUUCAUUUUUGCAUUAAAUAUUUCUGGACGGAGGGAGUACUAG